CGGAUUUACUGGGCGUAAAGCGAGCGUAGGCGGAUUAUUCAGUGGGAUGUGAAAUACCCGGGCUCAAUCUGGGUGCUGCAUUCCAAACUGGAUGUCUAGAGUGCAGGAGAGGAAAGCAGAAUUCCUAGUGUAGCGGUGAAAUGCGUAGAGAUUAGGAAGAAUACCAGUGGCGAAGGCGGCUUUCUGGACUGUAACUGACGCUGAGGCUCGAAAGCGUGGGGAGCAAACAGGAUUAGAUACCCCGGUAGUCGUCAGUAC
rnacentral:rRNA from 1 species